rnacentral:rRNA from 1 species
CCUANGGGGGGCUGCAGUGAGGAAUAUUGCACAAUGGGCGAAAGCCUGAUGCAGCAAUGCCGCGUGGAGGAAGACAGCCCUCGGGUUGUAAACUCCUUUUAUCUAGGAAGAUUAUGACGGUACUAGAGGAAUAAGAGCCUGCUAACUACGUGCCAGCAGCAGCGGUAAUACGUAGGGCUCGAGCGUUAUCCGGAUUUAUUGGGCGUAAAGAGUUCGUAGGCGGAUAGGUCAGUCAGACAUUAAAGAUCUUGGCUUAACCAAGGGAAAGUGUUUGAUACUGCCUGUCUUGAGUAUGGCAGAGGCAGAUGGAAUUCUCGGUGUAGGGGUAAUAUCCGUAGAUAUCGAGAAGAACACCAAAGGCGAAGGCAGUCUGCUGGGCCAUUUCUGACGCUGAGGAACGAAAGCGUGGGGAGCGAACGGGAUUAGAUACCCCGNUANUC